rnacentral:rRNA from 1 species
GAUGAACGCUGGCGGCGUGCCUAAUACAUGCAAGUCGAGCGAACAGACGAGGAGCUUGCUCCUCUGACGUUAGCGGCGGACGGGUGAGUAACACGUGGAUAACCUACCUAUAAGACUGGGAUAACUUCGGGAAACCGGAGCUAAUACCGGAUAAUAUAUUGAACCGCAUGGAUCAAUAGUGAAAGACGGUUUUGCUGUCACUUAUAGAUGGAUCCGCGCCGCAUUAGCUAGUUGGUAAGGUAACGGCUUACCAAGGCAACGAUGCGUAGCCGACCUGAGAGGGUGAUCGGCCACACUGGAACUGAGCCACGGUCCAGACUCCUACGGGAGGCAGCAGUAGGGAAUCUUCCGCAAUGGGCGAAAGCCUGACGGAGCAACGCCGCGUGAGUGAUGAAGGUCUUCGGAUCGUAAAACUCUGUUAUUAGGGAGGAACAAAUGUGUAAGUAACUAUGCACGUCUUGACGGUACCUAAUCAGAAAGCCACGGCUAACUACGUG